UACAAUCUCGAUAAAGAAUUCUCGUCGUUUCUCCAACGUUUACGAACAGUUUCGACUGACACGAAACUGAAUACUUACUGGGAGGAACUCUUGGAACGACGAUCAAUCUCGAGUCUCUGUAGACGCGCCGGCAACACGUCGUCCUCGUCGCUCAUAGUCGUCACCAGGCUGCGAGCUAUUUUCGCAACAUCGGAUUUGACAGCCGAGUGUCUCGCAAGGAUCCGGAAUAAACACAACAAACCGCGAGACGACGAGUCGCGCGGAUAGGUUAGAACGUAGACAGCAGGGACGAGGAUGACGACAUUACGAUGCGACUUGUGCACGACGAUGGCGUAGCGACCGAUCGUUCCCCGUCCCCGUCCUCUCGUCGACUUUGACAGCUCGCGUGCGGCUUUCCGCGCGAGCGUUUGACAGCGCCCGCGAGAAGUGACAGGACGCGUCCGCGUCGAAUCUGUGCGAGCAGCUUCGGAGGCGUGGAAAACUCGCGAUCAAUUAAUCACACACAACGAUGGCGUACGUAAAUAAACACUGCUACUGCGCGGCAUCGGAGACCAGCGACUCCCGAAGACACCGGAAGAAGAUGUCGUCCUAGAUGGCGCUACGAGCGCGAGAUCGCGUCAUCCUAUUGGUCGAAAUUCGCCGCGACAUUUUGUUGUUGACCGCGAAGACUUCUGGAAGCGUCAAGAGCGUGCUUUGGAUUCAACGAAUCAAUUCAUGUUAAUAUUGGUGUGUCCUGAUCAAAUUGAUUGGUGCAGUGACAGUGCAAGUUGGUGGAAGCGAAAAUUCGCAGUAUGAAAUACGAAAUAUCCAGUGACGGUACAAGUUGAUGGAAGCAAAAAUUCGCAGUACGAAAUAUGAAAUAUCCAGGAUGACGGCAAUGAUCCUGUAGCAGAAGACAGCGCUGUAACGGCGGCGGCGGUGGCUCCUCGCGACGAUGUCGGUGACGAUGAUGGUGAUGCCGAUGAUGGUGAUGGAGAAUCGAGGCGGAAGAGGAGGAAGCGGAGCCGGGUGGGACCGGCUCGUGCACCAGCAAUCGACGAUGAUGAAGGUGACGCGAUAUCGUCGCCAGGACACCCACCAGUGCUCCGACUAUCAGCACGAGCGCCGCCGAGACGAUGUAGCCGCUCGCACUCACUGCAAACAAACAUUAGACAUUGCGAUUAGUCUACGAAUUUCCAUCGAAAAACUCGUCUGUCAGUCUUUGUCAUUUUCACACUUAUAUCCCGUAUCACCAUUUCUCAAUGACAAGUUAUCGUUCGUGUUGAUCAUUAUUUGAUAUAUAUGUGUAAAGGAAUCUCUCUCUUUCUU